UUUGGUGAGUCAAAGCCUUAGACCCCAAAGUCACCUUCCUUUCUUCACUACGUCUCCCAGACUACCUCAAAUGGCUAAGGACAACCUGUUAGCUAUUUCUCUCUUGAGCAUUAGCUGUCAUUUGGUGCAGUUAGAGGGUUUCCUAUGAAGAGUAGGAUUAGAUAGUACUGCUUCAUUAUUCCAGUUCACCUUUUCAUCAUUCCCUUCACUCACAAACAGUUUAAGAUAGUAACCAACUCAUUAUCUCUUAACCUGAGGAAGGUGUACAUGAGUGACUGUCCUUACUUUACUUACAUUACUACUGUCAAACUCAAAUGUUAUUAGAGUGUGUUUGCAAAAGUGUAACCUGCCUUAAUACAAUGUUGGUUGUAAGAAGCAUGAUAGUAAUCAUACCUUUCAACUUCUAAAUGGUGGUGGUCAAUAAUGUAUUUUCUUUUUUUUUUUUUUUUUUUUUUUUUUUUUUUUUUUUUUUUUU
rnacentral:lncRNA from 1 species